rnacentral:rRNA from 1 species
GACGAACGCUGGCGGCGUGCUUAACACAUGCAAGUCGAACGGAAAGGCCCCUUUGUUGGUACUCUAGUGGCGAACGGGUGCGUAACACUUGAGUAACCUUCCCUUGACUUCGGGAUAACUUCAGGAAACUGGGGCUAAUACCGGAUAGGAAUCCUUGCUUCAUGGUGGUGGUUGGAAAGCUUCGGCGGUUUUGGAUGGACUCGCGGCAUAUCAGCUUGUUGGUGGGGUAGUGGCUUACCGAGGCGUUGACGGGUAGCCGGCCUGAGAGGGCGACCGGCCACCUUGGGACUGAGAUAAGGCCCAGACUCCUACGGGAGGAAGCAGGGGGGAAGAUUGCCCAAUGGGCGGCAGCCUGAUGCAGCAACGCCGCGUGCGGGAGGACGGCGUUCGGGUUGAAAAACGAAUUCAGAAGGGGCGAAGCUUGUGGUGACGGUACCUGCAGAAGAAGCACCGGCUAACUACGUG